AUUGAACGCUGGCGGCAUGCUUUACACAUGCAAGUCGAACGGUAACAGGCCGCAAGGUGCUGACGAGUGGCGAACGGGUGAGUAAUGCAUCGGAACGUGCCCAGUCGUGGGGGAUAACGCAGCGAAAGCUGCGCUAAUACCGCAUACGAUCUAUGGAUGAAAGCGGGGGACCGUAAGGCCUCGCGCGAUUGGAGCGGCCGAUGUCGGAUUAGGUAGUUGGUGGGGUAAAGGCUCACCAAGCCGACGAUCUGUAGCUGGUCUGAGAGGACGACCAGCCACACUGGGACUGAGACACGGCUCAGACUCCUACGGGAGGCAGCAGUGGGGAAUUUUGGACAAUGGGCGCAAGCCUGAUCCAGCAAUGCCGCGUGCAGGAAGAAGGCCUUCGGGUUGUAAACUGCUUUUGUACGGAACGAAACGGUCCUGGUUAAUACCUGGGGCUAAUGACGGUACCGUAAGAAUAAGCGCCGGCUAACUACGUGCCAGCAGCCGCAGUAAUAC
rnacentral:rRNA from 1 species